UACGUAGGGUGCAAGCGUUGCCCGGAAUUAUUGGGCGUAAAGGGCGCGUAGGCGGCCAUGCGUGUCUUCCGUGAAAUCCCUCGGCUUAACUGAGGACGUGCGGAAGAAACUGCAAGGCUCGAGUCCGGGAGAGGGGGGUGGAAUUCCCAGUGUAGCGGUGAAAUGCGUAGAUAUUGGGAGGAACACCGGUGGCGAAGGCGGCCCCCUGGACCGGUACUGACGCUGAGGCGCGAAAGCGUGGGUAGCAAACGGG
rnacentral:rRNA from 1 species